rnacentral:rRNA from 1 species
CCUACGGGAGGCAGCAGUGAGGAAUAUUGGUCAAUGGGCUGAAGUCUGAACCAGCCAUGCCGCGUGCAGGAAGACGGCUCUAUGAGUUGUAAACUGCUUUUGUACAAGGGUAAACCUGAAUACGUGUAUUCAGCUGAAAGUACUGUACGAAUAAGGAUCGGCUAACUCCGUGCCAGCAGCCGCGGUAAUACGGAGGAUCCAAGCGUUAUCCGGAUUUAUUGGGGUUAAAGGGUGCGUAGGCGGAUUUAUAAGUUAGAGGUUAAAUGUCCGAGUGUACCUCGGGAACUGCCUCUAAUACUGUUGAUCUAGAGAGUAGAUGCGGUAGGCGGAAUGUAUGGUGUAGCGGUGAAAUGCUUAGAGAUCAUACAGAACACCGAUUGCGAAGGCAGCUUACCAAUCUAUAUCUGACGUUGAGGCACGAAAGCGUGGGGAGCAAACAGGAUUAGAUACCCUGGUAGUC